UUACGGCUAUAUCAUGUUGAAACGUCGGUUAACCUAGGACCACCGAAGUUAAGCAACGUUGAGCCUGGUCAGUACCUAGAUGGGAGACCGCUUGGAAAUACCAGGUACUGUG